rnacentral:rRNA from 1 species
GCACAAGCGGUGGAGCAUGUGGUUUAAUUCGACGCAACGCGAAGAACCUUACCUGGGCUCGAAAUGUAGUGGAAUCCGGUGGAAACAUCGGCGCCCAGCAAUGGGCCGCUAUAUAGGUGCUGCAUGGCUGUCGUCAGCUCGUGUCGUGAGAUGUUGGGUUAAGUCCCGCAACGAGCGCAACCCUCCUCUUCAGUUGCCAUCAUUCAGUUGGGCACUCUGGAGAUACUGCCGGUGACAAGCCGGAGGAAGGCGGGGAUGACGUCAAGUCCUCAUGGCCCUUACGGGUUGGGCUACACACGUGCUACAAUGGCGGUGACAAUGGGCAGCGAAGGGGCGACCUGGAGCUAAUCCCCAAAAGCCGUCUCAGUUCGGAUUGCACUCUGCAACUCGGGUGCAUGAAGUUGGAAUCGCUAGUAAUCGUGGAUCAGCACGCCACGGUGAAUACGUUCCCGGGC